GUGGUUAGAGAUGGGUACGCGUCCUAUUAGUUAGUUGGUGAGGUAACGGCUCACCAAGACUUCGAUAGGUAGGGGUUCUGAGAGGAAGAUCCCCCACACUGGUACUGAGACACGGACCAG
rnacentral:rRNA from 1 species